UUACAUACCCCGUGGCGCCGGGUUCAGGGUGAUUAAGAAUGCUCUAACCCCAACUGGAAGCUUACCAUUGAACCUCGGGGGGUUGAAACUCGCAACGAGCCCUAAUCGGGUGCCCUUUGAUGUGUAGUUUUUGUCAGUGGGGAGGCUUCACCGUCCUCU
rnacentral:snRNA from 15 species